UACGGAGGGGGCUAGCGUUGUUCGGCAUCACUGGGCGUAAAGCGUACGUAGGCGGCUAUUCAAGUCAGGGGUGAAAGCCUGGGGCUCAACCCCGGAACUGCCUUUGAAACUAGGUAGCUAGAACACGGGAGAGGUGAGUGGAAUUCCGAGUGUAGAGGUGAAAUUCGUAGAUAUUCGGAAGAACACCAGUGGCGAAGGCGGCUCACUGGACCGUUGUUGACGCUGAGGUACGAAAGCGUGGGGAGCAAACAGG
rnacentral:rRNA from 1 species